rnacentral:lncRNA from 1 species
GUAGCAAUUACACCUCGAAUUUUUGGUUCACAAAAUUAGUGUUUUUACAUUUAAAAAAUGUGACUUUUUUUUUGCAUUUACGAUCCCGCAUUUACGAUCCAAUAUUUCUUUUUCAAUAAAAUGAACACGUGUCAAAUGACAAUUUUCGAUGUACUUGCGGAUUCCUCUCCAAGUGGCAUCCAACUUUUUUGGCAACGUUCACAUCUCGAACAAACACGAGAGUUGGC